AGCUGAGAUUGCAAUUGUACUUGCAGAAUGAGUCAGUUUCUCCCUUUGCCCAAUUCUACCUUCAUCACUUUCUUACAAGUGAAUCUCCCAAGGAUAAUUUCCAAUAAACUUUCUGCUCACAAUUUCUCAUAUCGGAGUCAAUUUCAGGAAAUUUAAUCUAAACUAGCUGGUACAAGAAGUAGUCCUACAAAGUAGACUCUAAAUUGGGUUUUGGAGGUGGAUCUCUCACUGGCAAGCUGGCAAUGAGGAUAGUAGUUGUAGUAUGGAUAGCUCCUGCCAUGCUAUGAUAGUACAAUUGUUAAAACUUUCACUGAUGGUGAGCUUGGAUAGAAUACCAGUAGAAAAGGAUAUGCUGACUAAUGGAAUAUCUCUGACACUUGACAGGAAUGAGUUCAAAUACAUCCUGAAAUUGGGUGGCUAUGGCUGAUUAUCAUUGAAUAAAGAUAAAGAUGGGCUUGAGGUGAGAAAUCACCAAUUAAAGACAAAAUAUGAGAGUCAGAGGGACUUCUUGGCAAGUUUUAUGAAAAUCCUAAUCUCCUAAAGCCAGAGGGAGGAGAGGAUCGGGCUCAUGAUUUAUUGAUAAGAGCAGAAGAACUUCAAAAAGGUUAAAUUUUCAGCUCUGAAAUUUUUUCUGCAUACUGAUAGAACCCUAAUAGGAAAAGCAGAGACCCUGGAAGGGAUAAAUGGUAUUGAAUAUCUUGAGCUCCCAGAGUUCCAUAAAACCAUUGUGCCUGAAGAUGUGGCCCAUUCCCUCUAAUUAAAAUAUAGUGGCUGUCCCCCUUGCUUGAAGAUCAUGCAGAGGCCUCAAAUGCAUCAGCAGCUCAAAAAGCAAUGUUUGCCCUCUUUAAACUGUAUUCCUACUUCCCUGGCAGGCGAUCACAUUAAGGGUUAAAUCCAAGCAAUGAACAAAGGAGAAGCCAGGGCCUGAUGGGGAAGGAACCUAGAAAACUGCAGUUCAAUUCAGGAUCACUUACAACUUCCCUAGGGGAUCAUAACCAUUUGCUCAGUGAGAGGAAAACUUCUGGAUGGGCAGAGCUCCCAGUAAUGGACUUGGUCAGCCAUUUUGUAUGGAACGAGAAACAGCCUGAGACUACUACUGCUAUUCAGUCUUCCAGAAUCCUUGUGCCAAGAAACCAGCAGGGAAGGAAAGGAGGCACCACCCUGGAAGAGGUAAUUGAUACGGUCUUCAGGAGGAGGAAGGGCAGCUGCUACCCCAUGAGGGCAGGAUGGGAUAUGUUUGGGCCUCUUUGGUGCUGCCAUGCCCAGUUUUAAUCCUAUAUAGGAAAAUACAUCUGCCAUGGCCUGAGAAUAGCAACCAGGAGCUCAUACUGCUCAAGAAUGAUGGUGUGCAUCACCUAAUGAGGCAAACUUCCUAGAUCAAUGGAAGUGUGAGCUGAGGGAGAGGAGAACCUCCAAUGGAUGGUACAGGAAGAUGGUAUCAGUUAUAGUUUUGAAAUCAGCUGCAGCAACAGGGGCUGUAGUUCAUCCAACUGACACUUCUUUUCAUAAUUUCCCAGGAAACAAGACUAAUCAGGAUCCUGGAAAGCUUUGCCCUGGUAGGAAGAUAGAAUUUAGGAAGGAAGUAGCUGUGAACCUCUCAAAGUUUAGGUGUAGUGCAUACUAUGUUGCUUAUACAGACCCUCUCUGUAGAGCCAAUUACCUCAUUCCUUCUC
rnacentral:lncRNA from 1 species